AUUCCUAUCAGAGCCUGAACCACAGACAGUACCUUAGAGUCUAAGCUUAGAUACCUUUGUCUUGUUUUUGUGGCUAAGGAUUCUCAGAGUUGCGGGAUGCUGAUGAAAUUUAUCCCAAAAAGUGUGAAGAGUGCAAAGACCUUAUAGAAUCUGUGCUGGAGGAGGAGGUGCAGUUUCAGGAGAGGGAGCUGGCCGAAUUGCCGAGGUCAGCUGCAAGGCUCCGGAUACAUGAUCCCUUAAUUCAGGCUCAGGCUGAAGAACUGACCCACUUACAACAGAAGAUACAGGAAGGGAGAGGUGUCUGCUACCUUUUCACCCAGCAUGUGAAGAACACAGUCAAGUCUUUUGAGGGCCUUCUCAGGAACACUGACAUUGCCUACUACCAGAGACAGAGAUUCUGUGAGCAAAUGGUACAAGGAAGCCAGCUGACAGAGAUCCUUGUCAGAAAACUUGCCACAGAAUCAACCCCAAUGCUCACUAACAAACUGAGAAGAAAAAAAAGAAUUACCCCCAACAACAUCUGAGGAAGCACAACAGGGACAGACUUGAAGGCACCUGGGCAGUCCUCUGGUUUUGGAGUAGAGGCAGCUGACGUCUGGUGAUGAUUCACCAUAUCAGGAACACCCUGUCCAGUGGGCUAAGGCAAGCCUGCCAGGCCACUUCUCUAAAGACACAACCUGAGGCCUCCUGCAAUAAUUCUCACAGAGCAUUCUGAACAUACAUAAAAUCACAAUGGUAAGAAAAAUGAAGACAGGCAAAAGCCACUGGCUCCCAGGUAACUCUACAUGAUGAAGGGGCUGAUAAUGGACUGACCAAAUCUAGAGAGAAUUCCAGAAGCAAGGACUCAAGAGGUUAAAGGUCCCAGAUCUAGAAAAAGCAGAAACUGCUGAUUGUUCCUUUUUUUGUUGACUGAUUAUACAAUGUGUCCUUUUAAAAAUGGUUCUCUGUUCUCUUUGCAGUUUUUGUAUUGGUUCCUAGUUCCUAGUAAUUUCUCACACUUAGUUAACCAGUCAGUCUUACCGAAAAGUAAACUAACCAGGGAUCCCUGGUUUCUGUAUCUUUAAAACCUAUAGGGUUACAAACCAAAGUGAGAUGCCUAUCUGGUUUCUGCACAGUUGUCCUGAAUUAUGUUGGCAGAUAUUUUAUAGCCAGAAAUUUACCUUGAAAAAUAAAUUGAAACCAUACCAAGUAUUUAGAGCUAGGGGUCUAAAAUCUGCAAAAGCCGUGGGAGGUUGUGUUGUCUCAAGAGCCAGUAUUCAGUGGACCACUCCACAUCAUAUUAAAUAAAAUUUAAACACAGCAUUUUGAAGCCG